GCUUGUCUCAAAGAUUAAGCCAUGCAUGUCUAAGUACAAGCCUCAGUAAGGUGAAACCGCGAAUGGCUCAUUAAAUCACACCUAAUCUACUGGAAAGUUACUAGUUACUUGGAUAACUGAGGUAAUUCUUGAGCUAAUACAUGCGAAAAAUCUCGACUCACGGAGAGAUGCUUUUAUUAGAUCAAAACCAAACGGCUUCGGCCGUCUCAUUGGUGACUCUGAAUAACUUUGGGCUGAUCGCAUGGGCUACGCCCGCGACAAACCAUUCAAGUUUCUGCCCCAUCAGCUUUCGAUGGUAGUGUAUUGGACUACCAUGGCUUUUACGGGUAACGGAGGAUUAGGGUUCGAUUCCGGAGAGGGAGCCUGAGAAACGGCUACCACAUCCAAGGAAGGCAGCAGG
rnacentral:rRNA from 1 species